GCUCUUAGGUGCGAUGAUGUAAUUGGUAUGUGCCGGACGCCUGAAAGCUGGCUGCAGCACCAGGGAUCGGAGACACAUGUUGUUUGGUGGGGCAUCCAUGGACAACACACUGCUUGCAGGAGCAAGGACAAUCCAAAGAAUGCAAAGGCCAGCAACAAGUAGCAGAGCAAUAACACAGUGGCUCGGAAAUGCACACGCCAAUCCACUCCUUCAAAUGUUGAACAUGGUGCUGAUGUUGCAGAAGGUAAAUGUGAAACACAUUAACACUAAAGGAGGAGUUCAAAUUUUUGCCAAAUUCCAUCCCGCCAUCAUCCGACUGCGCAAAUGCGCACAGGCCACGGAUCCACAACGCAUCAAUGUGUGGCACAGAAAAGACCAUGACAGGAUCUGCCCAGAACACAAUCUGCCUCUCCACCAAUGCGAAGCAUCAGUAUGGUUGCAUCAAGGUCACCUUCCGAUUUGCUGGUGCCCUCCCCACCACUUCAACUGCAG